ACACCGAUGGUGAAGCGGUUAUCAUGCUUGCCUUCCAUUGUUUCAUAGAAUUGGUUAGCAAGCGGCAGGGGUUCGACUCCCCUUCGGUGUA